UAGAUGGCAGCAGGUUCUGAAAUUAACACCCGCCAAGCGCCAAAUGUGGAUAGAUUUUUCAUUUGGCGAGUAAAUCUCAGAAUGUUAUCCGCCACACUGGUGGGUAAAUGUUUGUACCAAAAUAGUAAUGCAAUCAAAUCUGGCAUGAUGGCUCAAGGGAAUUAUUCAUGUUUGCCAGCCUACCACAGACCGUCUCUAGUGCUUCUAGUUUCACGGCACUGUUUACCACACGGUACAUCAGCUACUCGACAUCGCUCACUUGCCACGGGUCUGCUGCUAGCUACUGUUCAAUAAAUAGCUAUUAUGUGGCGAUAUUUACCUGGAGUGAGCCAACCUUUUGAAACGAAAACCCACUGACGAAAAGGAGGACGAAUCACAGGAAGUUUUGUGAGAAAUGGUUAAAAGGUUUGGAGAUAAAGGUGUUUCAAGAGGCUGGCUACAGUAAGAUGCGGAGACUGUGGUGAUGAAUUGUUCUGUGUGCCACCAGUAUGCUGAAGAUAAAAGCAGAAACAACUCAUUUGUUAUCAGAAAUAAAAUGAUGAAGCUGGAGAACAUUUGUGACCAUGAACACAGCAAUGUCACAUUGCCUGCGUGCCGAGUGUCCCAGGCUCAAUCAGAGCCUCUCCUCUUGACACCCUCUGUGACGGCAAUAAUGGCAAUGUCAGAGCAGACCAGCACGAAGAUGAAGAUACUGUUUAGGACUGUACAUGCCAUUGGCAAGAAGAUGAGACCACAUUCUGACUUUGAGUGGAUGUGCGAGUAAGUGAAUGUUGUUACUCUUGUAGCUAGACUAGUACUUUUGUAGCUAGAUUUUUCAAGUCUAUUUAUCAGAUGUGGUCCAGUAUUGUAGGUUAUUUCUCAGUUAUUGAUAAGCUUUGGUUCACCUCAAAAUAGUGUAUAAAUAACCAAAUUAUAGGCCUACUGAUGAUGAAAUGGAUCUCCAUGCUUUCCUAUGGCUCUGUGACAUUCUAUUUGAAUGUUUGUCUACAGAUGCUGUUUACAUUUUGAAGCAUUGUGACACAAUUGACUUUACCAGCCUUAUAGUGUUGACCCUUAAGUAAACAAAGGCUAGAAGGCUAAUUUAGCACAAUAAACUGACAGCUAUAUUGGAUAACAUGAUUGUAUAUUGAAUUAUUAUUGAAUUAAUUUGAUGUCUUUAUUUUUGUGGUUUGGAUGACAAAAAAGGAAUCGUUGUGGGCUCAACUAAUAGAAAUGAGAAGCAGGCCAAAGAGUUUAUGCACCAUAUUGCAGAGGCCUUGAAAAAUAAGGGUCAACACUGCAAAUAUUGACUCUUUGCAUCAACUUCAUGUAAUUGUCAAUAAAAGCCUGUGACACUUAUGACAUGCUUGUAAUUAUACUUCAGUAUUUCAUAGUAACAUCUGACAAAAAUGUCUAAAGACACUGAAGCAGCACACUUUGUGGACAUUUAAUAUUUGUGUCAUUCUCAAAACUUUUUGCCACGACUGUACACCUUCUACCACACCAGUCCACUGAACAGGGCAAACCCGGUUGAACAGCUUCCAGGCUCUUGGGCACACACCGCUGGUGCCCACCAGAAUUGGCAGGACCCGAUGGGGAAGGACACCUAUUGCGUGCACUGGACCUCUUCCUGCGACGGUACCAGGGGCUUGCUUGUCCAGCGUCUGGAACAGAUUCAAUCUGCUGAUGCCCAAAAUGUCUGAGGUGUCCAGCAGGCCAAGGCCAGGAAAUACUACUGUACUGCGAGGGAGGCUGUUGUUAUCCACUUCUGUGGCUUCCUGCAUGACACUCUAACACAUCCGAGCAACCUGUUCGCCUGUCUGCAGAGGUCCACCAUCACCAUAGCAACCUGUUCGCCUGUCUGCAGAGGUCCACCAUCACCAUAGCAACCUGUCCGCCUGUCUGCAGAGGUCCACCAUCACCAUAGCAACCCGUUCGCCUGUCUGCAGAGGUUGGAGUCAUUAAUUAAAACUUCUUAGGGAUAGCUCCCUUUUUUUCAAUUUUCGACUAAAUGACAUACCCAAAUCUAACUGCCUGUAGCAGGGAUAUGCAUAUUCUUGGUACCAUUUGAAAGGAAACACUUUGAACUUUGUGGAAAUGUGAAUUGAAUGUAGGAGAAUAUAACACAAUAGAUCUGUUAGAAGAAAAUGCAAAGAAAAAAACAACCUGUUUUUUUCUACCACCAUCUUUGAAAUGCAAGAGAAAGGUCCCAGUUUUAGCCAUCACUCUGGUUGUAAUUCCGAUGGUGUCCACAAGAUGGCAGCGGUGUGUGCGCACAGUUUCAGACGGAUAACUUGAAGUAUGAGCGUUCUACAUGACAUUUAGUGUGAAGUCACCCAGGUACAUUUGUGCAAAUCUAGAAGGAGACGUUUGCAUUCAUAAUACAUUUUUCUGCAAGAAUAUCGUCAAGUCUGUAUACUUUAACUUUGAGAUAGCUUUUCCAUUAUUAGUAGCCAUAUUAUAAAUUCAACAUUUGCAAAACAACCAGUUUUCAUAACUCUGAAUAUUCUUAUAGUUUUAGUCCAAAAGGAAAAGGCAUGCUGUCACAAAAGGUUAGCACCUACAUUUUGUGACAGACAGACACAGGGUUUCCGGAUACUCCCGUAAUCUAGCUAGCUUUGUUUGACCCCUUUUGGUGCUUAUUUGACAAAGAUACAAUUGUAAAUGCUGGUGUUCCUAGCUCCAACAGUGCAGUAAUAUCUAACAAUACACCCGUCUAAAAGUAAAAUAAAGGAAUUAUUGACAUGUACACACCUGUACAAUAUCUCUCUCACACACACACACUUGGGUAAUGCAAGUUAUUGUGCUGUUAGGGGAAUAACCUGUAGUGUAAGUGUAACAAUCUGCUGCUGUAUUUUUUUGUGUUAUCUGUGAUGGUUUUGUUUGUCUUGUUUUAGUUUAUUAAUCAUCAGCAGGAUACAGGAAGAAAGAUGUAGGCAAGAUAACUGAUGACUAACACGUAAAACAUAAGCAUGCAAUACAUACAUUAUUUUUAGAACAUGGAAAGAGUUCUGUCAUCGUUAUAACCUAACCAAAAGCAGAUAUCAGCGUUAUUGGGUGUAAACAAGCAAAGAACUCAGAAUAUGAAUUUAAUGGUGGCAGACGAACUAAGGGGGAGUAACUUUAUUUACAUAUGUGAUGUACACAAAUACUAUGUAUGUAUAAAAGCAGAGCCAGUGCUAAGAAGGGGCGGCUGUUCCGCGGACCAGCACGGCUCUUAAUAACUUGUAUUAAAGUCUACAUUGAAUUCACAAA